AGGACGAACGCUGGCGGCGUGCUUAACACAUGCAAGUCGAGCGGUAAGGCUCCUUCGGGGUACUCGAGCGGCGAACGGGUGAGUAACACGUGAGUAACCUGCCCCAGACUUUGGGAUAACCCUCGGAAACGGGGGCUAAUACCGAAUAUGACUUUAGCCCGCAUGGGUUUUUGUGGAAAGUUUUUCGGUUUGGGAUGGACUCGCGGCCUAUCAGCUUGUUGGUGAGGUAAUGGCUCACCAAGGCGAGGACGGGUAG
rnacentral:rRNA from 1 species